rnacentral:rRNA from 1 species
AACGUAGGAGACAAACGUUAUCCGGAGUUACUGGGCGUAAAGGGCGUGCAGGUGGCUGUUUAAGUUCGGCGUGAAAGCCUCCGGCUAAACCGGGGGAGGUCGUCGGAAACUGGAUAGCUUGAGGGUGAUAGAGGCGGGUGGAAUUCCGGGUGUAGUGGUGAAAUGCGUAGAGAUCCGGAGGAACACCAGUGGCGAAGGCGACCCGCUGGGUCACACCUGACACUGAGACGCGACAGCAUGGGGAGCGAACGGG